CCCUUAGAUGUUCUGGGCUGCACGCGCGCUACACUGACAUACUCAGCAAGUUUCCUUUCCCGAAAGGGUUGGGUAAUCUUGUUAGUGUAUGUCGCGAUGGGGAUAGAAUAUUGUAAUUAUUGCUCUUUAACGAGGAAUUCCUAGUAAGCGCAAGUCAACAGCUUGCGCUGAUUACGUCCCUGCCCUUUGUACACACCGCCCGUCGCUCCUACCGAUUGGGUGAUCCGGUGAAUGGUUCGGACUCUGGCUAUGCUAGCUACUAGCUACGUCAGGGAAAGUUCUGUGAACCUUAUCACUUGGAGGAAGGAGAANUCGUANCA
rnacentral:rRNA from 1 species